rnacentral:rRNA from 1 species
UAACACGUAUCCAACCUGCCGAUAACUCCGGAAUAGCCUUUCGAAAGAAAGAUUAAUACCGGAUAGCAUACGAAUAUCGCAUGAUAUUUUUAUUAAAGAAUUUCGGUUAUCGAUGGGGAUGCGUUCCAUUAGUUUGUUGGCGGGGUAACGGCCCACCAAGACUACGAUGGAUAGGGGUUCUGAGAGGAAGGUCCCCCACAUUGGAACUGAGACACGGUCCAAACUCCUACGGGAGGCAGCAGUGAGGAAUAUUGGUCAAUGGGCGAGAGCCUGAACCAGCCAAGUAGCGUGAAGGAUGAAGGCUCUAUGGGUCGUAAACUUCUUUUAUAUGGGAAUAAAGUUUUCCACGUGUGGAAUUUUGUAUGUACCAUAUGAAUAAGGAUCGGCUAACUCCGUGCCAGCAGCCGCGGUAAUACGGAGGAUCCGAGCGUUAUCCGGAUUUAUUGGGUUUAAAGGGAGCGUAGGUGGAUUGUUAAGUCAGUUGUGAAAGUUUGCGGCUCAACCGUAAAAUUGCAGUUGAAACUGGCAGUCUUGAGUACAGUAGAGGUGGGCGGAAUUCGUGGUGUAGCGGUGAAAUGCUUAGAUAUCACGAAGAACUCCGAUUGCGAAGGCAGCUCACUAGACUGUYACUGACACUGAUGCUCGAAAGUGUGGGUAUCAAACAGGAUUAGAUACCCUGGUAGUCCACACAGUAAACGAUGAAUACUCGCUGUUUGCGAUAUACAGUAAGCGGCCAAGCGAAAGCAUUAAGUAUUCCACCUGGGGAGUACGCCGGCAACGGUGAAACUCAAAGGAAUUGACGGGGGCCCGCACAAGCGGAGGAACAUGUGGUUUAAUUCGAUGAUACGCGAGGAACCUUACCCGGGCUUAAAUUGCAACAGAAUAUAUUGGAAACAGUAUAGCCGUAAGGCUGUUGUGAAGGUGCUGCAUGGUUGUCGUCAGCUCGUGCCGUGAGGUGUCGGCUUAAGUGCCAUAACGAGCGCAACCCUUAUCUUUAGUUACUAACAGGUUAUGCUGAGGACUCUAGAGAGACUGCCGUCGUAAGAUGUGAGGAAGGUGGGGAUGACGUCAAAUCAGCACGGCCCUUACGUCCGGGGCUACACACGUGUUACAAUGGGGGGUACAGAAGGCGGCUACCUGGUGACAGGAUGCUAAUCCCAAAAACCUCUCUCAGUUCGGAUCGAAGUCUGCAACCCGACUUCGUGAAGCU